rnacentral:rRNA from 1 species
UACGUAGGGUGCGAGCGUUGUCCGGAAUUAUUGGGCGUAAAGGGCUCGUAGGCGGUUUGUCGCGUCGGGAGUGAAAACUCAGGGCUCAACCCUGAGCGUGCUUCCGAUACGGGCAGACUAGAGGUAUGCAGGGGAGAACGGAAUUCCUGGUGUAGCGGUGGAAUGCGCAGAUAUCAGGAGGAACACCGGUGGCGAAGGCGGUUCUCUGGGCAUGACCUGACGCUGAGGCGCGAAGGCGUGGGGAGCGAACAGG